GGCUCGUUGGUCUAGGGGUAUGAUUCCUGCUUCGGGUGCAGGAGGUCCCAGGUUCAAAUCCCGGACGAGCCC
rnacentral:tRNA from 1 species